rnacentral:rRNA from 1 species
UACGUAGGGUGCAAGCGUUAAUCGGAAUUACUGGGCGUAAAGCGUGCGCAGGCGGUUUUGUAAGUCUGUCGUGAAAUCCCCGGGCUUAACCUGGGAAUGGCGAUGGAGACUGCGAGGCUAGAGUUUGGCAGAGGGGGGUAGAAUUCCACGUGUAGCAGUGAAAUGCGUAGAGAUGUGGAGGAACACCGAUGGCGAAGGCAGCCCCCUGGGUCAAAACUGACGCUCAUGCACGAAAGCGUGGGGAGCAAACAGG